rnacentral:rRNA from 1 species
AUUGAACGCUGGCGGCAUGCCUUACACAUGCAAGUCGAACGGCAGCACGGGUGCUUGCACCUGGUGGCGAGUGGCGAACGGGUGAGUAAUACAUCGGAACAUGUCCUGUAGUGGGGGAUAGCCCGGCGAAAGCCGGAUUAAUACCGCAUACGAUCUACGGAUGAAAGCGGGGGACCUUCGGGCCUCGCGCUAUAGGGUUGGCCGAUGGCUGAUUAGCUAGUUGGUGGGGUAAAGGCCUACCAAGGCGACGAUCAGUAGAUGGUCUGAGAGGACGACCAGCCACACUGGGACUGAGACACGGCCCAGACUCCUACGGGAGGCAGCAGUGGGGAAUUUUGGACAAUGGGCGAAAGCCUGAUCCAGCAAUGCCGCGUGUGUGAAGAAGGCCUUCGGGUUGUAAAGCACUUUUGUCCGGAAAGAAAUCCUUGGCUCUAAUACAGUCGGGGGUUGACGGUACCGGAAGAAUAAGCACCGGCUAACUACGUG